UUCCUGAAGCCCAGUGGAUGGUUCUGCCGAGCAGCAGGAGGACCCUGGGGUGUGUUUGAACAGUGUGGAUGAUUGAAUUACCACUCUGUCUUCUGAAUAUGGAGAUCUUUUGAGGAGGAGAAGGUAUUUUUGCAGAAGGAAGUGGUUUUAUUUGUUUUAGGGGGAGCUUUCAGAGGGGUAACUAUUGGGUUUCUGUUUUAAGCACUAAGACCCUUCUUUGGUGUGAAGGAGAUAAAUGACUUAGGGUCUUAACAGAGAAGUUUUUCUGUAACUCUGAGGAAGCUGUAUGGCACUACUAGCAGUAGCCUCUGUCCAAGGAGGAUGCUAACCCCAGCAGAGACUGACUAUCUGACAGUACCCACUCUGGGUCUGCCAGGCCCCAUGGGCUCCUGGGUUAGUGGGAGCACUUUGUGCAGGGCAGAGAGAAUGAGCCCAGUUACUGGAAGCGGGGAGUGUAGCUGCAGGGAUUGUUCUCUCAAGUGGAUCAGUUGUUUGACCUACUGACUCAUUUCGUAGGAAUUGGGAAAACAACCUAAUGUGGUUUUAUUGUCGCUGUUCAGGACUGCAGGGUCUCAGCCUGGGAUUGUGAUGGGCUGGAGGAAGGUGCUGCUAGCAUUCAUGCUUUCUGCUGGCCCGCUCUUGGCUCUCCUGUGGAAUUCAGUCCUCUGCUUCCAGGACAAGCCCAGCCUGCACUUGGGGAUCCUUGGGUGACCGUUCAACCGUGAGUAUUUUUUUUGAAGCUCACUGAUUCUUGCUUAAAAACUUAUAAAUGGCAUUUCAUCAAAGGAAGAGCUUCAAAGAACUAUCUUUGCUGGUUGUCGUGUGUGUAACACAUUUCACAUUUACUAUGAAGAGGACUCUGUGUGUGAUCCUGACUACAGAAGCACACAUGACCUACAGAUAACCAUGGGAGCUAAGAAUUAAGAUUUUUUUGUUUGUUUUUAUAGCAUAUACAUAAAAA
rnacentral:lncRNA from 1 species